rnacentral:rRNA from 1 species
UACAGAGGUGGCAAGCGUUGUUCGGAAUUACUGGGCGUAAAGGGCGCGUAGGCGGCUUGGUCAGUCCCGUGUGAAAUCCCUCGGCUCAACUGAGGAACUGCACGGGAAACUGCCUGGCUUGAGUUCGGGAGAGGGAAGCGGAAUUCCGGGUGUAGCGGUGAAAUGCGUAGAUAUCUGGAGGAACACCGGUGGCGAAGGCGGCGUUCUGGACUGCAACUGACACUGAGGAACGAAAGCCAGGGGAGCAAACGGG